rnacentral:rRNA from 1 species
GACGAACGCUGGCGGCGUGCUUAACACAUGCAAGUCGAACGGUAAGGGCCUUCGGGGUGCACGAGUGGCGAACGGGUGAGUAACACGUUGGUGAUCUGCCCUGCACUUCGGGAUAAGCCUGGGAAACUGGGUCUAAUAACGGAUAGGACCACUGCCUGCAUGGGGGGUGGGGGAAAGCUUCUGCGGUGUGGGAUGGGCCCGCGGCCUAUCAGCUUGUUGGUGGGGUGAUGGCCUACCAAGGCGACGACGGGUAGCCGGCCUGAGAGGGUGACCGGCCACACUGGGACUGAGAUACGGCCCAGACUCCUACGGGAGGCAGCAGUGGGGAAUAUUGCACAAUGGGCGCAAGCCUUAUGCAGCGACGCCGCGUGAGGGAUGACGGCCUUCGGGUUGUAAACCUCCUUCAGCACCGACGAAGCGCAAGUGACGGUAGGUGCAGAAGAAGGACCGGCCAACUACGUGCCAGCCGCCGCGGUAA